rnacentral:lncRNA from 1 species
AUGCCCUGUUCAGAAUCUGACUUGUCUUACAAGGGUGUUCUCUUCCACCUGAGUAGGCCCCAACAUCACAUGUGUGGCUGCCCACCCUGCUCAGCCCCAUUAGAGACUUUAGAGCUGAGUUGCUCUGGAAGGGACAAGAAGAACAACGGAAGGGAAAAACACAUCUUACUACCCUCACUCGGCAAGACAUCAGGCAAAUCAUUCCCAGUCACUUGGUGGAGAAGUCAGCAAAAGCUGCCGAAAGCCAGCGCCGAUCCAACUGACCCAUUUUACAGAUGAGCUGAGCCUGAGAGAAUCCUACACGAUGUACCUUAACUUUCAGGGGUUAUUCAACUUACAAAGCACUGUAGUGAGAUCUCUGAAAAGAAAGAAUGUGUCUUGCUUUUAUUUACAGGGGAUCAUGGAGGGGGGACUUAGCAAGAGACCUUGAUCUUGUACUGUCUUGUUAGCUCUUAAUUCUGAAAUAUAUAAUAAACUCAGAACUUUUAGAAUUAGAACUGUAUAAUCAUGGAAAUACACAAGCCUCAUCGGUCUGGUUUGUCUUAUUUAUUUAUUUAUUUAUUUAUUUAUUUAUUUAUUUAGAUUUUAAAAAUUUAUUCAUGAAAGACACACAGAGUGAGGCAGAGACAUAGGCAGAGGGGGAGGGAGAGGCAGGCUCCCUGCAGGGAGCCCAAUGUGGGACUCGAUCCCAGGACCCUGGGAUCACAACCUGAGCAGAAGGCAGACGCUCAACCACGGAGCCACCCAGGCAUCCUUAUCUUCCUAUUUAGCGAAUGAGCUAAGGGAACCUGUAGAGAUGUAUUCACGAUUGGUUCAGCUUGGUAUCCGACAUGGAGCUAGACACAGAGGCCCACACCAGAACUCGGAAGCCAUGUGCUGACCAACAGUGCUACAAUGAAUAGUUGUGGGGAAGGGGAGCAUAUCAAAUUGAAACUUUUCUAUGUGAAUGUUUAUUAUAGGAACACAUUAAAUAGGAGACUAAAAUUGGUACAGCAGCACAUUGAUAUUUGUGGAAGAACUCUAAAGUAAAUAUCCCACAAUAUCACCUUCUUUUUUAAAUUUUUUUAAAAAAUAUUUAUUUAUUUGAGAGAGAGGGGGCACAAGCAGGGAGAGUGGCAGAGGGAGAAGAAGACUUCCUUCUGAGCAGGGAGCUCUAUCCGGUGCUUGAUCCCAGGACCCUGAGAUCAUGACCUGAGCUGAAGGCAGACACUUAACUGAUGAGCCACCUGGGCACCUUGACUUGCUAAUGGAGUUGGCUGAGGACUACAGUGAGCAGCAUAAGGGACCCUGGACACUCUCCAGCUCACCUGCUUUGUGUUCCCUGGGGACAGGAUAAGGGCACUGGACAGUAGGGGCAGGCAGGCUGCUCCACCAGGAUGCCAGGCUGGAUCUGUGCCAGCUCAUAGCCAGCCAGACAACACAGUGGGCCUGUUGAGCUUUCACAGGAUCAGAACGCAGAAGGAUCAUUCUAGGUCUCCCUCAUGGACUGGCCAUUGUUACUCACACCACACGCUGCUAAAGGAAGCGUUGUCUCUAAAAUAGGAUUGGUUUAAAAAUAGCAAUCGAACCUCGGGCAUGGAAUGUACUUCUGCUAUACCAGACACCAUCACAUCUGCCUACUUAUUUGAUCCCCACAAUGAUCCAACAAAAUUGACAGGGGUGUCCAGGAGAGAGACUAACUCAUUUCUGGGACAGGUAUCUGGCAGGAGUUCAGCUUGUGCUUGAAGAAAGGAAAAAAGGAUGGCAGGAAGUGAGGGAGGGAGGGAUCAAAGCUGAGGGUUGUGUCUUGAUUUUUUAGAGAAGGAAAGCUCAAGGAGAAAAUGAUCUACCCCAAGUGACAGCACUAAUUGCAGUGGGGAGACUGUGGAGUCCUGGUCUAGUGCUUUUCCUUCCAGUGCCUCUCAGCUCUUUGCUGACAGGUGUACUGGGGGGUGAUCUUUUAAAAGUGAAUUGGCCCACAGGGUUCCAGUCUUCCACUGAUAGCUGUAAAGGGGGUAAAUCUAUCCUUCUGUAAAGUACACGGGAGCCAGCCACUCCCAGGAAAUGUCUGAGAGAGAGCAACAGGGUGGCUGUGCGAUGCCACCAAAGGAAUUCUGGUUAUGUCUACUCUAUAAUACAAGCUCACAAUGUGCCUUGCCAAUCUCUGCCCCUCUCCGGGCCACAGUUUCCUCAGGGAUAUAAAUAGGGUCUUCAUGACCAGUGUAUUAUUUCCUGUCUCCAAUCUCUGCCUUAAAGUCCAUCCUGGGUACCUUCCAGAAGUUUUCCAUCUUGCUGAUGGCUGAGUCUCCCACACUGUGCCCAGGAUCAACCUCAGGAGAACAUUGUGGGGCUGGGGGAGGAGCUUGGGAGAGAAGGCUGCAGGAGUCCUGGGGUGUAUAUUGCCAUCACCCUAAAAGUGUCUUGCUGCCUCCACCUCCCCUGUGGCCUUGUUAGCAUAGAAGAAGAGAUUCUACAGCCAACAAUCAGCAUCAGUGGUCCCUACAAUAAGACUGCUUAGUGUUUUGACUUGUCCUUUUAGGUAGAAAGAUAUGAUUCCUUAUGACCUUAUUCUUUGUUUUUAUUUUAAAACUAUCCUCUCAGAAAUAAUUCCAUAGUACAGAAUUUUUUUCUAGGAUUCAAGAUAUGUGAGGAAAGAGAGGAAGGAGGGGUGAACAGAAGCAGAUGUCUAAAGCAAGAGGAGAAGAUACUUGCUGAUGGUAACUGGGUAAACCCUGAGUGUCUGAUUGAUACAAAUCAAAUGUAUCCAUCCAGCAAACCUCUCCUGGAAACUCAUUGUUUGCAGGAUUCUGGAUGGACACACAGGAAGUUGACAUGUAUGUGGCAGCCUUCACCCAUAUGGAAUCAGGAAGUCUUUGGGCAAACAAUAACUUGCUUAUGAACAGAGUAGAAUCUAUGAGCCGGCUGAGUAGCUACUAAGGAGCCUGAGCUCCACAAAGAUAAUGGAGGGUGUCUGGUGCCGUCAUGGGCAUCCAGCCUACCAGAUUAGAGAGAUCUCACUGAACAUCCCCAAUUUCAGCUGUCACACAGAAAAGGUCACACUUACGAGCAUGGCUACUCUGGCUGCAGUACAGCCUACUCUAGACUCAUCCUAAUAAAGCCUCAUAAGAAUCAGACUAUAUCUACCAAUAAAUUAACUGCCUGUUGGCACAAAAAUAGAUGGUUGCUAGAUGAAGACAUCAUUAUUUGGAGUCUUAACAAUGCAGCAUUCAUAAUUCCAGCAUAAAGUCAUAAAUUGAUGGACAUGUGAUAAACAGGAAAAUGUGAGCCACAAUCAAGACAAGAAAAGCCAAUAGAAAAUUACCCUGAUAAAAUCCAAGUGUGAUAACUAGAAGGAGACAAGGAAUUUUAAAAAGCCAUUAUAAAUAUAUUAAGGAAUUAAUGGCAAAAAUGCUUAUAAAAAACAGUUAUAAUAUUUCAGGAGAAUAGUGGAAACUGCAAAAAGAGCCAAACUAAAGUGUAAAAUGUCCAAAAUGAAAAUUGAAUAGAUCUAACAGAUGACAUAAAACAUAAAACAAAAUAGUCAGUGAAGUUGCAAAUUGAUUAAUGAAAAUAAUCAAUUCUAAAAAAGAAGAAACAGGUUGAAAAAAAUUGACUUGUGAGAUGAGAUCAAGCAAUCUAAAAGUGUGUAACUAAAGUUCCUGAAGGAGAAAAAUAGGGCAAAAAUUAUUUGAAAAAUUAGCAUUUAAAAUUUUUCCAAAUUUGAUAAAAACCUAUAACCUUAUAGAUUCAAAUAGUUCAGUGAACCAAUGAUGUCUUCAUCUAGCAACCAUCUAUUUUUGUGCCAAUAGGCAGUUAAUUUAUUGGUAGAUAUAGUCUGAUUCUUAUGAGGCUUGAUUUUAAACUUUAUUAGGAUGAGUCUAAAGUAGGCUGUACUGCAGCCAGAGUAGCCAUGCUCAUAAGUGUGACCUUUCCUGUGUGACAGCUGAAAUUGGGGAAACUUUGCCGUUUCCUCUUCUCUCCAAGAAACCCACACCCUGGCAUGUCAUACUGAAAAUCAAAGAUAAAGAGGAAAUCUUAGAAAUGGCAAAAAAACCCACAAAAACCAAACAAGCCUACAUUGACUAUAGGUAAGCCAAAACAUGAAUAAUGACUGACCUCACAGCAGAAAAAAAAUGGAGACAUGAGUAUAAUGGGGCAACAUCUGGAAAGUACAGAAUAAAAAUACUUGCCAACUAAUAAUUAAUUACCCAGUUAAUGCUCUUCAAAAGUGAAGGCAAAGACCUUUUCAGAUGCCUGACAAUUAAUAGAAUAUAUUACCAGCAGAUCCACAUUAUAAGAAAUAAAAGAAGCUCUUCAGGCUGAAGAAAAUUGACCCCAAAUACGAAUUUAGAGCUACAGGGAAAGAGAGAGCAAGAGAGCGAGUGAGAGAGAGAAUACUGGGAAUAGUAAAUAUGUUGGCAAGGAGACAGGAAUACAGUUUUUAUUCUCUUAGUUUCUUUUAAAGGCUUAUAUGUGUAAUACUGUGUGUGUAUGUGUGGGGGGUAUAAAGUAUGUAGAUGUGGUGUAUGUGACAACAAUAGAACCAAGGAUGGUGAUAAAUGGAACCAUAUUGCUACAAGGUUCUUACAUUCUGAGAAUAGGAAGAAUAGGAACUCAGAAUAGAUUGUGAGGAGUUUAGGACUUGUAUUGUAAUCCCUACAGGAACAGCUGAAAGAGUGAAAACCAAUGUAGGACUUGGCAGACACUGAGCUCUGCCUCCUACGUUCCCUUCUGAUGAAAGACUCAUUGCCCCAGGGGCUAGGAGUGGUGUUGGCAGAUGUUACCUACAGAGAGCCAACUUGCCCUCCCCUUUCUUGGGCAGCACACAUGAAAUGAAAUGACCCAUCAGUUGAAAAGUAUAAGGGUCUGCUAUUUUGGCCCAAUCAGGACAACACUGAAGGACCAGUGUAGUUCUAGAAGUUUCUGUGAGGUCUUCUGAGGCUAUUGUUGGACCAGGGGUGUACCUCAACCUCUCCCCCUACCCCAUUCUCCUUCUUUUUCCUUCCUUCUCCGGGCAUGAUUCUCAAGGGCAUUCCUGAACAA